UACAGUAAAGUACAAUACAUUCUAGACAUCUACGUUUGGGACACAUUAGAAUGUCACAUUAGUAUGUCACAUUUGUCAUACCUUGAUUAGACUAUAAUUUUAUGAAAACAUACAUUAUAUAAACUCAAUCAUCAUUGGCUUAAGUUACCAAUUUUAGAUGUGGAGUUCAGGAAUACUUUAUUUUCCCCUGUUGAUAACCAUAGUUUAUUAAGACACAUUUUUAUUAAUGGAUUACAUUAACGGAAUGAUUUUCAAAUAGUUAAAUCUGUGCUUGGUCUGCUCAAUUAUUAGGUUUAAUUUAUACCGAAGAUAAUACUCAGAGGGCUACAUAGUCCUAAAUGUUGUCAGCAACCAGGACUUGAAGUAAACACUGACAUCAGCUUUAGGGAGUGGUAAUAUGGUGCCAAUAGUGGUUGCAAUUGAUAUCAGUGUAUGGGUGAUCUUAGAGCAUAUUGGGCCGGUUUCACAGCUAGGGUUUAGAUUAAUCCAGGACUAGGCCUUAAUGUGUACUAGUUAAACUAGGACAUUUAAGUAGCUUUCAUGAAUGUGGCUUAAAUUUGGCUUAGUUAGUCAGAGACUAUGGAGUCCUGGAGUAAGGAAAGUAAGCCUAAAUGAGAACACCUGGGUUAAGCCUGAUUAGGUUAAGUAUGAGCACGUGCUGUUGGUCUAAUGGUGCUCAUAAAAACCCGGAAUGGAAUUAAAUAAACACCAUUACUGGUGUGAAUCUUGAGACAAAACAACGGCAGAGGCAAAAAUAAUUAGUUCAAAAAACUUUAGUAAGUAUGAAAAAACAUUACUAAAACAAAUUUUGUCAAACCAUCCAGUUAUUGAAAGUAAAAACCAUACUACUGCUACUGAGCAAAAGAAAAAGAGUGGUUGGGCUGCAAUUUGCAGUGAAUUCAAUGCAAAUGAAAAUGUAACCACAAGAAGAGUACAACAACUUCAGAGCACCUGCAACCUCUGGAUGGUAUACCAGAGGAUGACCAACCUCUGGAUGGUAUACCAGAUGAUGACCAUUUGGACAGUUCAGAUGAAGAACUGAGCACAAAUGAGGAAAGGAAUCUGAACAGGUUGGAAGAGCCAGUGCACAGUGAGUGUGUUCCCUCCACAUCUGCUAUAACAUCCCUGAGAGAAGAUGCUGCCACCACCUUUCAACUGAGAACAAAAAAAGAUGACCGUGCAUGAAAAGUUAGCCAGAGAAUUUCAUGAGCAUGAAAUAUCUGAAGGAAGAACAUGAAAUGAAAAUGAGAAUUCUACAGGUUGAAUUGGAUAUGAAGUUGUAAGAGAGAGGUAUGAUCCAAAAAAGAUACAGUAAUGAGACAAGUGUGAUUA